rfam:Burkholderia ginsengiterrae strain DCY85 NODE_84, whole genome shotgun sequence.
CGGAUCCCUAACAACGAAGGUCUAGCAAACCACGUUGUCCCCGAGACAUACUGCGAAGCAUUGACAGGGGUACGUGCGGGCCAGCCAUUGAGCCGCGAUAGUUUAAAUAUCCCGAGUGCCGACGCUGUUGACAUUGCGGAAGGCAACACGAUGGGGCGCGAUAUUGCGAGCAUUCCGUCGACUCGGCGUGGUCGAAGACCC